GAUUUCAAAUGGAAAAGUCAUCAACAGGAAAGUUGUAUAACUCAUCAAGAUCUAUAACUUUUAUUUUGGUCAUUUCUUCAUCCGACAAAGUGAUAGUAAUACUGUUUACAAAAUUGAUAUAUCUGUGUUGAUGUUUAAACCAGAUGAGAGAUAUGUGAUUUUUGUAAAGAAUAUUACUAUCACUUUGUCGGAUGAAAAAAUGACCAAAAUAAAAGUUAUAGACCUUGAUGAGUUAUACAACUUUGCUGUUGAUGACUUUUCCAUUUGAAAUC
rfam:Oryza glumipatula chromosome 10, whole genome shotgun sequence.